CUUGACUACAGUGUGGAAGAGGGACCCACGAGGGACAGGGAGGUCCCAAGAGAUGACAGCUGCGUUGUAAUAAAGAUAGUAGUGCUUGCAGGGUGUGACUCCAAGAUUCUGUUUCCAUGUAAGAAGUUGGUGCUGUUGACUUAAAGGCCCUACAGAGUGACGCCUUGGAGAAUACCAGGCCUGGAGGCCCCAGCUGAAUGCAGUCAUCCAAGUGACUCCUGUUCGCUGAACACGAAGGAGAUACCAAGAUGUCCCUUCUGAGUUGUGUCCAGGUUACGGGAUCAGGGAGCAAGUGCAAUAAGUUCAAAGGUGACCCUUCUUGCCAAAGCCAGAGAGACCCACCAAGAAAGCUAAUGAAUAAACUAGAACCCUACAGAAAAGCGGCAUGAGGGCUGUAUGGACAGGACACAGUGAACGGCCUGCAAGAACACCUCAAGUGUGGAUUACUGGUCUUCACCAGCCCCACCCUUCCUCAUUCUAGAGAAGCCAGCUCCAGCGGUAUCCUGGCCCUAGUGAUAGCCCAUUCCCGAGUCCUUCAUGGAUUGGGCGGUGCUGCUCAUGUCCCGGGCUCUUUAGUUACACGGCCGGCCGGAGUAGCCCUUGUGUUCACUGCCUUGGGCACAGAGCAUGCUCUCACUCACGAACAUCAAGUCUCAGAACCCAUGUGAAUAUACACCUUCCUUCUCAGUCUUUUUAAAAAUGUCACUUUCCGACCUUUUUUAAGGUUUCCAGUCUGAUUGAUUGAUUAAUUUCAUGGUGGCUAAUUUCCCACCAGUUCUAUGAAGGAGAAAAAUAAAAACACACAGGAAGAAAAGGACCAAAGAUCAAAGGGUCAAAACUCGGCGACAGGUUAAAUGUUUCUAAAACACUGCCGAGCUUUGCCUGAAGGCACAAUGUCAGGAGUAGCUUUCCUGUGUGUAGUGAUAGCUUUCCUGGAGUGUAGCCAUCUGUGUCAUUACUUCCCUUGGUGCUCUGGGACAUUUCUACUCCACAGGUGAUUAGAACCCUAGGAGGGAACUAAGCUGCACACUGGAUAAAGGCAUGGCCCUAGAUAGAGAAGUGAUUCAGCGAUAAAGCAAGGAGCAGAACCCAGGCUUCCUGGGCCUCAGCUGGCUCUGCCUCCCAGGACACACCUGGAACACAAAUAUUGGCUGUCUUCCCUAUGGGCCACAGCAUCAACAAGCUCCACCCGUACAGCUGAUUCUCUGUACCAUCAACUCCAUCUAUACGUCAAAGAGCCAAGCCACUCCCUGGGGCUGAAGACCACGAAUGGAGAAUCCAUUUUCAAGGGUCCUAGGUGUUCCCAUGCAAAUCAAAGGAAAAUGGUAAUACAUGUUACUUUCUAUGGCAA